AAGUUUCGUUGCGAAAUGUUGUAAAAUGCGGAUAAUAUAGCCUUGCGAAAUUUGCAAUUUUCAGUCAUUUUAGAUUACAAACGGGAAAUGGUUACCACUUUUCCAAAAUUUUGAUCUUAACUAGCCUGAACAAAAAUUUCAUCACAGCUUGAAAGAGCAUCACAAAAUUAGUAAUAUUCCAAAGUUUCGUUGCAAAAUGUUGUAAAAUGCGGAUAAUAUAGCCUUGCAAGUUUGUAAUUUUCAGUCACUGUUUUGUAUUACGCACAGAAGUGGUAACCAUUUCCCGUUUGUAAUCUAAAAUGGCUGAAAAUUGCAAACUUCGCAAGGCUAUAUUAUCCGCAUUUUACAACAUUUUGCAACGAAACUUUGGAAUGUUACUAAUUUUGUGAUGCUCUUUCAAGCUGUGAUGAAAUUUUUGUCCAGACUUGUUGAGUUCAAAAUUUUGGUUAAUCGGGGAAUGGUCCAUUUACAUAUAUUUUUUGUUUUAAUUUACAUCUAUAGUUAAUUUUGGCAUAUUACUUCAGCAGCCGGGCUGAUAAUUUUCCAGGUAUAAUAAGCCCCUAAAAAUUCC